AGCAGCCGCGGUAAUUCCAGCUCCAAUAGCGUAUAUUAAAGUUGUUGCAGUUAAAAGCUCGUAGUUGAAUUUCGGGAUCAAUAUAUCGGUCAUGCUUAGGUAUGUACUGGUAUUAUUGACUUCUCCCUUCUGAAGAACCAUGAUGUCAUUAAUUUGGUGUCGUGGGGAAUCAGGACUGUUACUUUGAAAAAAUUAGAGUGUUUAAAGCAGGCAUACGCUUGAAUACAUUAGCAUGGAAUAAUGAAAUAGGACGUUUGAUUCUAUUUUGUUGGUUUCUAGGAUCGACGUAAUGAUUAAUAGGGAUAGUUGGGGGCAUUAGUAUUCAAUUGUCAGAGGUGAAAUUCUUGGAUUUAUUGAAGACUAACUACUGCGAAAGCAUUUGCCAAGGAUGUUUUCAUUAAUCAAGAACGAAAAUUAGGGGAUCGAAGACGAUCAGAUACCGUCGUAGUCUUAACCAUAAACUAUGCCGACUAGGGAUCGGAUGAUGUUAAUUUUUAAUGACUCAUUC
rnacentral:rRNA from 1 species